rnacentral:rRNA from 1 species
AACGAACGCUGGCGGCGUGUUUAAGACAUGCAAGUCGCACGGUAUCAGAUAUGUAGCAAUACUUGUCUGGUUCAGUGGCGCACGGGUGAGUAACACGUGAAUGACAUGCCCUGCAGAGGGGGAUAGCCCAGGGAAACUUGGAUUAAUACCCCAUGGUAUCGCAAGAUUAAAGGGUGGCCGCAAGGCUGCCGCUGCAGGAUUGGUUCGCGUUCUAUCAGCUUGUUGGCGGGGUAACGGCCCACCAAGGCUACGACGGAUACCUGGUCUGAGAGGACGAUCAGGCACACUGGAACUGAGCCACGGUCCAGAAACCUACGGGUGGCAGCAGUCGAGAAUAAUUCACAAUGGGGGCAACCCUGAUGGUGCAACGCCGCGUGGAGGAUGACGGUCUUCGGAUUGUAAACUCCUGUCAUCCGGGAGCAAGACCUGACGGUGAAUAGCCGGCAGGGUUGAUAGUACCGGAAGAGGAAGGGACGGCUAACUUCGUGCCAGCAGCCGCCGCCGAAA